rnacentral:rRNA from 1 species
GAUGAACGCUGGCGGCGUGCUUAACACAUGCAAGUCGAACGAAGCAUUACUGACAGAAGCCUUCGGGUGAAAGAUAGUAAUGACUGAGUGGCGGACGGGUGAGUAACGCGUGAGUAACCUACCUUAUACAGGGGGAUAACAGUUGGAAACGACUGCUAAUACCGCAUAAGCAUACAGUACCGCCUGGUACAGUGUGAAAAACUCCGGUGGUAUAAGAUGGACUCGCGUCUGAUUAGCUAGUUGGUGAGGUAACGGCCCACCAAGGCGACGAUCAGUAGCCGACCUGAGAGGGUGACCGGCCACAUUGGGACUGAGACACGGCCCAAACUCCUACGGGAGGCAGCAGUGGGGAAUAUUGCACAAUGGGGGAAACCCUGAUGCAGCGACGCCGCGUGAAGGAUGAAGUAUUUCGGUAUGUAAACUUCUAUCAGCAGGGAAGAAAAUGACGGUACCUGACUAAGAAGCCCCGGCUAAUUACGUGCCAGCCGCCGCAGUAA